rnacentral:rRNA from 1 species
AUUGAACGCUGGCGGCAGGCCUAACACAUGCAAGUCGAGCGAGCGGCGGACGGGUGAGUAAUGUAUGGGGACUGCCCGAUAGAGGGGAUAACUACUGGAAACGGUGGCUAAUACCGCAUACUGUCGGAUAACCCAUAUGGGAUUAGCUAGUAGGUAAGGUAACGGCCCACCAAGGCGAUGAUCAGUAGCCGGUCUGCGAGGAUGAACGGCCACAUUGGGACUGAGACACGGCCCAGACUCCUACGGAGGCAGCAGUGGGGAAUAUUGCACAAUGGGCGCAAGCCUGAUGCAGCCAUGCCGCGUGAGUGAUGACGGCCUUCGGGUUGUAAAGCUCUGUUAAUCGGGAGACGGUACCGGAAUAGAAAGCCACGGCUAACUACGUGCCAGCAGCCGCGGUAAUUC